UUUUAAUUUCCUCCUUCUAAUAUCCAAAUUAAAACAUGAUAAAUUUUGUUUAGCUCCAAGAGCCUGUGUAUCAAUAAUCAAUUUCAUUGCCACGUUAAUUGCAAAAGACAACAGUACUAACAAAUUUACAACAAGAUACUUAAAAAAUCUACUUCGUGAGACUCUCUAUACAUCUAGAAAUACUAGAUGUUCAAAAUUAAAUAUUUCAUUUGCUGAUUAUUUACUAAAUUGUCUUGGUUAUUGUCAUGCCACAAAUGAACACAGAACCAUAUAAUUUAAAGAUUCUAUAGUAUAUGCUUAAGAAUGAAUUGCAUCAUGAACCUCAGUACAUCAAAGAAAAUAAGAUAUACCUUUUUUUUUUUUUUUGAGAGGGAGUCUCACUCUGUCGCCCAGGCUGGAGUGCAGUGGCGCGAUCUUGGCUCACUGCAACUUCUGCCUCCUGGGUUCAAGCUAUUCUUCUGCCUCAGACUGCCGAGUAGCUGGGAUUACAGAUGUGCACUACCACGCCCGGCUAGUUUUUGUAUUUUUAGUAGAGACGGGGUUUCACCAUAUUGGCCAGGCUGGUUUCGAACUCCUGACCUCGUGAUCUGCCCCCUUCGGCCUCCCAAAGUGCUGGGAUUACAGGCAUGAGCCUCCGCACCCGGCCAAGAUAUACCAUUCAAUAUAGAGAUUAUUCUUACAUGAAACUGACCCAAACAAUUUAAUAAAAAUUAAUUUUUACUUUUAAAUCAAAAUGUGGGGGAGGGAACCACUGUCCCUCUCUAACAUGACAGCAUAUAUACAUUUAAUAUAUAAGCUUAAAUAUGUGCAAGUAAUUUGUCUUUUACAAUCCCAGCAACACAAUGAAGACUAAGCAAAGGGGAAAGAACAAUCUAUCAACAAAAGAAAAAUGUCUCUAUCCUCUUUAUCAACAAACUACAUAUUUACAAAGUUGAAAUGUUAUAGAACAACUAUGAUAAACACAGAUAUUUAAUAGUAAACCCAAGAAAGCCACCCACACAGAGCUCUUAAAAUCAUUUGCAGGGUUAAGCACAGUUUAACAAAGUGAUGCUUGCAAUAUAUGCACGUCCACACUGUCUAUAAAACAAAAAAAAAGCUAAAGAGGAUUGUACAGUUGUCUAGUGGUAUCCAUCGGGGAUUUGUACCUGUACCGUACCCCUAUACCAAAAUCAGUGCAUCCUCAACUCCCUUAGCUCUUCAGAACCCAUGGUUAUGAAAAUGAGGUGUUCUUUACUCGGGUUUCAGAUUCUGCCAAUGCUGUACUUUCCAGCUGCAUGUGCUUGCAGAUGCAAAACCCGCAGAUAGGAGGGUUGACAUGACAACUAUACAUCACAGAGAUGAAAUGACAAAGUAUUCAACAUCCUUCUCCACGUGCUUCCCAACAAACAAGUGAAUCAAGAAGCUAAUGCCUAUAUUAAUAAAAAUACUCUGAUUUUUACAUACAUAUGUAUCAGCAAUGUCUACAUAUUAAUAUAUAAGGAAUAGGUAUUUUAAAGAUAUAACCUGACUGUACACACAGCAAUCUAAAAAUCCCACUCUACCACACAGGUUUGGUAUGCCAUUUCACUUCAACAAACAUAAAAAGCUUCUGCCCUAUAGUUUUAAGUAAAAUAUAUCCACCAAAUACAACAAAUUUCUGCACAUCUGUAAAGGUAGAUGACAUAUUAUACAUGGACACAACUAACAAUCAAAUAAACCUCUACAUACACACCAAAUUUUUUUUAAAAAUAAAGGUUAACACUUCUAUUGGCAAAAGAUUGUUUUCACCAUAUUUUAACAUUCAUAUAUUCUGUAUGUUCAUAUAUGUGCAUGGUGGGUGUUUCUACAUACCUAGGAAAUUCCGAUGUUAUUCAAGACGCUUAUCUAUGAUUCAUACAGCAGUUAAAUGGUCUCCAGCUCUAUCCAGGCACCCAACAGCCCAAUAAACACAGGAAGGGACAAGCCACCAAUUAGGUUGGAAUAAGAAAAAAUAAUACAAAAAUGUACAUUUUUAUAUAAAAAUUGUUUAGACAAAGACAAUCUCAUUUUUUAGAACUCCAGAACCCAAAACAAAACCAAGAAAACCCUCAAAAUCAAACCUCACAAGCACACAAAGAUGCUAACUCUAUUGGCAACAAUGAUUCUACUUUUGAAUAAAAAUAUAUUUCCAAAAAUAUGACAGAAAUUGCAUAUUAAAAAAUAUUGUUGUAAUAUUUAUCUUCUAGAUACAAUUAUAUAUUCUGCAUCAACCAAAUAAAUCCCAUUUAAACAUGGCAUAGCAAUUCUACUGAUCAAACUAAAGUGUUUAUGCCCUUGUCUAGUGGUUUACUGGUCACAAUAUACGCCUAUUAGUAAUCUGUAUGCAGAUGCUAAAAAGCAAAAGGUAACAUUUUUCUACUAUACAUUUAGCAGCCAUACAGUAUCUCUGGCAACUUAAGAAUAUUUCUAUCCUAUGACAAUAAAUGUUGUUUAUACAGUGAUAUGUAUUUAUAUAUAAACCUGCAUACACACAAAUAUACGUGUUGGCAAUUCCUACAAAUCAAAGACUAAACAAUUAAAGCAAAACAAUUAUAUAUUGUGACUGUCUUAUACACAUGUAACAAAAUUCCCCUUCAGCUGCUCAUUUACACACAUAAAUAAUCUGCCUAUGUGAGGGAGGGAACAAAAGCUUUCACUACAUAUGUAUGUAUUUAUCUAUCUAUCUAUAUAGAUAGAUAUAUAGAUAUGUGUUUACGUGUGUGUAUAUAUAUUUAGAACCAUGCAGACAUAAUAGCUCCUAUGCUUUAAAAAACAUAUAACCAUGUAUAUUGUAUACACGUAAGGGUUCCAUUAUCACCCAAUGAUCUAAUGAACUCAGGUUUCACAUCCCAUUGCUAGUAUCCCCAUAAAAACUUAUAAAAUGCCUCUACAGAUAGAAACAUUUUAAAUCAAAAACAACUCACUAUUAUGAAAGUCACAUUUUUUUGGCAAAUGAGAACUUUUCUAACCUAUGCUAUUUGACUCGUGGCAAUUUUUCUGUUGUAUAAAAAACUGCAUAUACACAUCUGAAAACUAUAAACAAAGGCAGACCGACAUUUAUGAUGACAUUUCCACCAUGUUGCAUCUGUCAGAAAAACAGUCACAUAUAUAUUUAUAGAGAUAUAUAGUAUUAUACUACAAAUUGUAAGAACAUUUCUAUUAUAUCUACCACAACCUAAAAAUUGAGCCCAAUGAUCCAGUGAGCAGUUUGCUUUUUGCAAGCAAAACUGGUUCUAUCCCCUAUGAAUUAAAAAUGACAUCUAUACAUUUAGAAAAAUAGAUGUUAAAAAUAUUUAGCAUAUCCACCAGCAAUCAAUUAAUGUUUAGGGGCAAUUUAAUGAAUUAAUGUUCUGAGAGGUGAUUUAACACUCCCACUAGCAAAAGGAAAGUAGUCUACCUGUUUACAAUGUAAUGUUAACAUAUAUGUAAGACCACCACCACCAUCUUCACGUGGAUUUAAGUCUGGAGGCCCUGCAACAUAUGCUCAUAUGCACACAGGGCUCCAACACCCCACCCUCUUAUCUCCUAAAUCCACAUCUAAUAUUUGCCUAAUACUAACAAAGCCAUCUAAGAGUCUAGACACUCCUAUCAGUAACCAAUGACAUCACUGUGUAACAAUUUAAUGUCCCCCAAAAUGCAAAAUGUCAGCCAUUUCUAUACUGGUUAAGAUUCAGUAACACAAUCCUGUCAGUUAUAUACACAAAGUAAUACAAAUCCCACCCAACCCUUAACAUGUAAGUGUUCUAGAGGCUGGCCUUUUUGGCAAUUCCAUCAUGAAAAGAAAAUCUUACACCACGUAAAUUUUAACAGAAAGACCACUGACAAAAUAACAUCCACAUCCAUGACUUUCAUACAUAAAGCAGCAUUAAUAAAACUUCUUAGUUAGAAGUUGUAUACAUUAAGUUCCCCCAGAAAAACAUCCAUAGCAAUAAACCAAAAUAAAAGGAUUUUUAAUAUACAUCACUCAGAGGUACUUUAACAAUUAUAUUUCUAAAAUCAUUUCUUAAAAUGUUUCUACAUACUUCAGCAAACUAAUUGUUAGCAAUAUCUAUGUACCAAGAAAAUGUCAUAAAACAAUUAUUUAGAAACUUCAAACACUGUAUCCUCAAAUGCACAUAAACAAAAUGCCUUUUUUUCUAAUUAACGCUUCCCAUGUCAUUUUCUAUUACCCUUAUGCACUCAAAAAGUGAAUACAGAAUUGUGUAUAUCUUUAAAAGGUGACCUGAGAAUUCCUUUCUAACAACUGUUCCAGAAUAAAAUUCUAGCAAAUAGAAGCUUCCCUAGGAAACCACUUAUUUAGCCACAGCAACUACAUUAACAAGCUUAACAGAUUCAUGUUCAAAAUCUAAGUGUUUGCUUUUAACUAAUUACAUUCCAAGAUUAUGCAAAAAAAUACAACUAUUACACAUUUAAUUUCACUGUCUGGCUUACCUAAGGCACAAUGAACAAUUCAUACACAUUUAUCAUUCAAUGUGUAUCUCAUAUUCUCAUUUCAAUACUAUUAUCUAAACAUAAUUUUCCCACAUAUUUAAACAAACUCGUAAGCUAAAUGUCCACGAAAAAAAGUUUAUAUUAUUUGAAUAUUUGGAGCUCUUUCACAAUGCUAGCAGGAGUUGGGGAAUGAUGUCCUUAUUGCAUGUGCACACAAGUAUAUCAUGUGCAGGGCUUUUACUGGUAAAUCUUCCAAAGGCGAGUGGACUCUCCACAGCAAGAAAAAAAAUUAUUAUUGGUUGAUGAAGUUCAGGCAAGUAUCAAUCUAUCUUUCUUUCUUCCAAGGUUUUCUAGCUGAUGAGGCAUGUAGCUGAAUUCAACAAAUGUUAUCCUUCCCCUUCUAUCCAUAUAUUCCUGCAGGGUUGGCUUGUCAACUUGAGUUUGUACAGACUACCCAAAAUAUUUCAAGUUUUAUAUAUUUGAAAUGUUUCUCAAUUCAGUAGAUAAUUCUUUAUGCACCUGCCACGCUGUGACUCAGACGGCAUUUUGGGGAUGAAUCCGGAUUGAGAGUUGCUGUUCUGAUGCUGUAAGGAGCACACAAAUAGAGUAGAUCUGGACUAUGGCUCUACAGAGGACCCUGGCCAAAGACCCUUUAAGGCAGACAUCUCCAAGGGGGUUUAGACUUCCACCGCAGUCUAGAAAUAAAAAUGCUCCAGAAGAAUCUGUAAACUACAAUUUUCUCCAUGCUGGGGUGGUCACUCAGACCACUCACUCCUGUUGAUGUAUUUCAGUGAAAAAAUGGUUCAUAAAUCUACCCUAAAUCAUAUGUUGCAAUCAGUGUUUCUUGCUGCAAAAAUUUCUGAAAAUUUUUAAGGAUGAGAGGAUUAGAGUGAGGGAAUGCCACAAAAUAUACAAAUCCAAAUGUUUGGUGUCCACAAGUGGGUGGUUUCCAGUGUUUAUUGUGGCAAAAGAUGUUCUAAAUAUUAUAAACAUAUGCAAUCGUUGUCCUCUUCCUUGAUUAUUGCUCAUUUCUAAAACUCUUGAAACAUGACAACUGCUUAUUUAUUAAGAAAACCUGACAAGGUUUGUCUUGUUUUCCCCAAAUCAGCUCUGCCAGAUAGAUGAAUUAAAGAACCUGAGGUUAGCAGCAAGGGGAACAGUUGAAAGUAUGUGAAUACAGUUAAGAUGACAAAGCCCUCACAUGGAAGAGUAACUUCAAAUCAGUUAUCUAAUGGGGUGAACAGUAUCUUUUGUACAGUAAGUUUCUAAAGGAAAUAAUCCUGGUCCAUCUUUUUUAAGCUGCAAUUUAGCCCAUGAAUGAAAGCUGUUUCCUUGCUCCUUAGCUGGCAUCUCCUUUAUACGUCUCUUCAGAAUUGACAGUCGAAUGUAUCACAGUGAUUUUAAAAAGAUGUUUCUGAAUGUAAAUGAGUUUGAAAUAUUUCACAAAUUUACUUUCUGCUUAUUUUCUUGUUCAAUUAUCUGUUCAUGAUUUGUCCAUUUUCAGAACAAUUUUUCAAGCCUUUUUAUUCACAGAGUUGUAGAUCAUAUUUAUGUACACUACAGGAAUCAACAGAGUAAAUAACCAAUAUAUUUUGCCAACCCAAAUAUAAUAGAUGCAUUUACAUUUAUUUUUAUGUUGUGAACUACUCUUAACACACCAACAAGUACACCCUCUUAUCCUCUCCAACAGCAAUGACCUCUUGAUUUCCAACAGGUUUGCUCAAAGGACAAGUUCACGUGAACACAUGCUUUUUUUUUUUAACCUGGAAUAUUUAUUCUCCAGUGAGCUAGCCUGAAGCAGGUGGAGGCAUCCAAUAAAAUACAACCUUAAGGAACUACCUUUUCUAUUUUUAACAAACCCCGAGUCAGAAAUCUGGCAAUAUCUUAGGAACCUCUCUACUUGAUGAAACAGACAACUUUAAUUUAAAGCAAGACAGUAUGUCCCAAUUCCCUACUCUCAGCUAUGUGGUACAAUGAAAUGCCCUUGUUCUUGACCUAAACCCUAACAAAGAAUGGAGGGAAAAAAAUCAGGGUGAAACUGACAGCCAUACUUUGCCUGUACUCUACUAGAGGGCAAAUUUGUUAUACUUUCUUCAUUCAUGUAUUGACUCUACCAAUGACUGUGGUAACAACAUACCAAUGAAGCAAAAAUUGGCUAUCCAUCAAACACAUACUAGAUGUUAAUUAUUACACUAGGCCUUGAAGACAAAGCAGUAAAAAGUAUAGUCAAGGCAUCUGAUAAACCAUUAAUGUUUCUUUCUCCCUAUAAGGGAAAAAUAUCAAAAAAGUCAGUCUAUUUAGCCUUUUGGAACCAUAUUUCCAAAUUCUGCUAUGUACUCAUCUGGGACAAAUGAAAAGCAUUAUUUCAGUAAGUCAAAGCUUUUAAAGAAGGUAUCAUCAUUGUGACUUAAAACAAUUUCUAAAGGAUGGAUUUUUUGGGUUUUGUUGCUACCUUGACAUCAUUGCCGAAGGCUGUAAUUCACUCAGUAGAUAAAACACCCAGUCUACCUAAAAUGUGAAGCCACGGUAUCCAGCCAUGCUCACUAGAGUUACACAUUAUACAAUUGACAUUAAAACAAAAAGUACAAUGUCCCAAAUUUGUUGCCACCCUCCAAAAUAAUUUCAAUAAUUCCUAGGCCAUAUAUAUUUUUAAAUCCUCUGUAAUUUCUUCUCAUUUUAUUCAGUCCAACCCAAAGAAGUCUGCUUGUUUGAAGUCUGGGUUUCUUGUUCAGUUGCUGUAUCACAGAGAAUGACUGAUUUGAUCUGAAUAUAUCCAUAUUCUUCACCACUUCCAAACCUGGAGGAGUCUCAACUGAAGUGGCUAAUUUUACAGUUUUUAAGUAAAAGAGAACAGUCUAUUCCCAAAGAGAAUCAUCAUUGGAAAACAGUACUAAAUUUCAAGAAACAACUAUAGCCACUGGAAUGCCAACCUGUAUGUUGAAAUUUCCCAAACCCAACAUAUGUAAAUCCACCAGAAGCAGAUGCUUAAAAUCAAACAAUAAAUAAAUAAAACAAGUUAUAAAGAGUUCAGUAAUUAACAUUAAACACAAACAGGAUUACCUUUCCUUCCUCCAAAAGGGUAGGUAUUAGGCAGAAAUUACCACACUAUAUUCAUUGAGAUCAUACCUGCUCUUAAAAUGUUAUUUUUUAAUCUACUGUUUUCAGGAAUUUUGUCUUCUUUUACCCGGGGGGGAUUUAUAUGGACUGAAUUUAGAAAUGGCUGAAUUUACUCAAAUUUAAUUUAAUUUAGAUUUAAAUGGGUAUAGUUGAUUCACUGCUAGGAAAAUUAUCAAAAAUAAGCUUGUUUCCUCAUAUCAUGUAGAUAAUUUAAAUUUAUAUUAGAAAUGUAUUAUUUUAAGUGAUAUAUGUCUGUAUUUCCAGGAAAUUAUGAAGUGUUUACGUCCUCCCAUGCAUUUGAACACACUGGCUACAAAUAGUCAUUCCUAUUAAUAAUAACCUUGCAAGAAAAAAAUAUAUGGUAUUCUACAAUGAUUUACAUUAUUACAUAAGACAACUUUCAAGAUUCCCUGGUCAUGAUCACAUUUUAAAAUAUGCGAUAACAUGAUGUAUCAUUGCUUUUUCCAUAUCAGUGUACAUUAAAAGACAUAUAAUAGCACUCUAAGUAUGGUUCCUAGAUCUGUAGCAUCUAGAAACUUGAUAAAAAUCAACUUCUCAUACUUAUACCUAAUAAGCAAGAAACACUAAGGUCAGGACCCAGUAAACUGUGUUUAAAAAGCCCUCAGGUGAUUCUUAUCCACACUAAAUUUAAACAAAUCACUGACUAACCAAGGCUAUCUAGAAAUACCAUCCUUUAUUCAUUCUAAUAAUUUAUCAAGAAAAGACAUUUAAUCAGCACACUUCGCUAAUUAAAACAAUCUCAGUAAAAGACAAUAUUACCUAUUUAUGGUCACCUCAAGAAAAGGUAUAGAAGCUAACAUGGGAAAGGUAGCUGACAUUCUUUAUCUGAAGUAAAACAGAAACUUACAUGUUAAAUGAUAAUUCUGACUCCUAACAUACACCACCUAUUGUUCCACAACUCAAACCAUGCAAGUUUUCCUUAUUUCCAACAAAUGAAACAAUCAUAACAUUACUCUCAAUUUACCUGUCUCCCUUCAUACAACUCAGGAACAUGUUCCAACCACAUUAAAAUUUGCUUAUUUGUUUUCCUCCUACUACUCAUUAAUGCAAUUUGCCAUCUUCUGCUAACUCAUUCCUUCCACUACUCUCAGCAAAUUACUUUGAUCAUGAAUUAGCAAGGCUGGACCUCACGCUCCCUUUGCAGGAAUGGAAAGUGUCAUCCAAUUCAAGAAAUAAUGAUUCUCAUCAUUAAGCCAACCCUCCUCCUACCACUCCACCAAAACACACACACACACACACACACACACACACACACACGUGCACACACACACAUACACGUGUCAUCUCUUCCAGAGAUUCUUAUUUUCAGGGGAUUUAUUUUAAGUCAUCUGUGAAGUAUCACCCCACAAAUGAGGUUGUUUGGAUGGGCUGGGCCAGCAACUACCACUGCAUUCUCUAAGUUGCACCAAACAUCUGAAGGUAAAACACCCCCUGUCAACACUACACCUCAACAUAUCUGGCACUAAUUCCCUAUUUUUCUCACUUAACUGCUUAUUUCUAAUCUAAUUCAGUUAGUAGGAAAGGAAAAACUCAUUUUUCUCAAUUCAUCCAACAUAUCGCUAACUGCCUGGAUCAAGAACACUAAGAGAAACAAACAAAUCUGAGAGGUUAUAAAUACACUAACAUUUCUACCAGAAGAACAGAGACUCAAAGGCAAGAACUAUAAAAUAACUUAUCUACCUCACUUUUAGAAGAAUGUUCAUUUCUCUGAACCCCAACAGCUUUUCACUAUAAACCAGUCAUUUGUCAUGUGAUCACAGUAUCAACACCCACAUCAUUAAUAUGUACAUAUGUACACGCAAACACAUAACACAUACAGAAUUUAUCAACUAAGAUAACAACUAGAGAAUAAGAUCUUGCUAUAUUCAAUGUUCAUGGUAUAUUUAAUACAGGCUUUUCUAAAUUACCUUCUUAUUCACCAUUCCUCCUUCAUAAUAACGACUUAUAGGCAAAGGAAAAGCACCUACUCAUAGAAUGUCAAUCACAGAUAAUGAAAGACCCAUCAAUCAUACAAGCAAAAAAUAGAGUAUAGAAUAAUGUGAGAUUAGAGAUGUGAUUCAAAAAUUGCAUGGUGUUUAGCAAAUCUUUUAAUCUCCGUGGGGCUCAGCAUCAAAAACUAUAUAAUGCCAAUUUCAUCACCUUAACUGAAUCUAACAGUCAAAAUUAAAUCUCCACCUACGUCUUGUAAAGAUACAGCAAAGGGUUUACUUAAUUAAAAGUAGAAUUAAAUUAAUCUCUGUAAAUGUAACUUAAGCAUUCUGCUAAAUACAUAAAUUACGUCUCCUCUCAAACCAAUGUCUCAGCCACAAACUAGCAAUUUCUCAAUUAUAUGCCAAAUGGAGAAGCUGCCUCAGUGACAGAAACAUGCUCAUGAAACUUUCAUAUAGGGUUGGAACCGGGUGAUGCAAGCAACAGGGUUAAAAAAAAAAAGAGCAUAGGAGCUCCUAAGUACUUAUUCUCUUGAAAUGAUCACUUGAAAUGCAUAGUAUAAAUAAGCAAAGGUGUGGCUGGGUACGGUGGCUCACGCAUGUAAUCCCAGCACUUUGUGGGGCUGAGGCAGGUGGAUCACUUACAGACCAACCUGGCAAACAUGGCAAAGCCUGUCUCCACAAAAACAUACAAAAAUUAGCCGGGCAUGUUGGCACAUGCUUGUAAUCCCAGCUACUCUGGAGGCUGAGACAAGAAGUGCUUGAAUGCAAGAGGCAGAGGUUGCAGUGAGCCAAGAUCAUGCCAAAGAUGAGACAUACCAAUGCAGUGAACAUAGAACACACUCUACAAAACAUUAACUGUACUAAAGGAUCUAGAACCAACUUCCUUGUAUUGCACUGGAAAAACCUACAACACGCCAUUAUCCUUAACCUGUACUGAUAGGAAAAACCAUGUGAAAUUUACAGUCUAAGAAUUUAUGUUUUGAGUAUUUGUAUCCUGAGUCCUUAGACUGAUAGUAAGGCUGGACUUCAGAGUAAUCACGUUGAGCUUUACUUCAUCAUGCUCAGUAAACACAGCUCAUCACAAAUCCAGCCCAGGUCUUUCCCAAUGUCUUUCCCAUCAACUAGUAAAAAUACGUAAAAAAAUAAAUUCCUGCAGAUAGUGUAUCUCUACCCAUAAGGACAGUCCCUGGCCUGGAAGAAUAAAUGAUAAGAGUUUUAUGUGACAAUGGAUAUAAAACAACAGUAACAACAACAGUGUCAUUCAAAGCACACAGAAUUAAGGGGAAUUAUGAAGAAAAAGACACACACAGCAAUCUACAUGAAGGAAACACACACACACACACACACACACACACACACACAGAGAGAGAGAGAGAGAGAGCAAUCUGCCAGUUGGGUCUCACAGAGCUAAAUACAAUGACUAUUUCCACUAGCAAACUGUCCAAAGAACUGAAACAGAAAUACCCUAAUGCCACCACAGAUACUAUCGACAACUUGCUAUUCUCCCCAAUAAUUAAAUGUAAACCAAUUUUAGGACUAGAGUACACUGAAAACAUGCAUCGAAAAAUUCUAGAGUUAAGUGUAAACAAAUGGUAUAGAAAGAUAGAGGACAGACAAAUAAAAUCAAGGCUGGCACAACGUAAGAAACACAAAGUCCAAAGAAAGGAUUCUGAAGGAGGUCUAAACUACUAACUUCUCUGACAAGAAACCAAAGUAGCACAGUAAUGCAAUCCAGAUUUUCUCAUGAGAACCCACACUAUUAUUCCUGAUACAUAUCUCCGAAACAUGAAAUCAUAGAUUUCAGGAACUGUAUCAUUUCAACUCAAUUUUUGCUACCGAAGAACAAAUGAUGUAACAUAAAAUGAAAAUAUCUAUACAAACAAAACAUCCAAAAGACAGGAAACAGUCCGAACAAUUCAGAUGUACAACCUAACCCUCAAGGUCACUGCAUUCUCAUUAGUUCAACAGAAAAUGAUUCACAUUAACUAAACAUCAAGUUCAAAUGUGAGCCUCCUUCUUGAUUCUUGGGCACGUAGUAGGGACCUCGCUUUUUAAGUUGAAUCGGCUCAGCAAAGCAAAUUAACCCAGCCAAGUUUUUCCUACUAAUCAUUUCUACACUGUACUAGUUCUUUAAACUCAUGGGCAAGCAGGCAUUGUGAAAAAGGAUUCCAGUGACCCACACAGAUGAUACUGAAAGUGGAAGAGCUAGAAAAACUGUUUCUCCAUGUCUGCAACCCCCUUCUUAUUGUACAACCACCUGAUCCCUUUAUCAACAUAUACUUCUACAACAUUCCCCACCUCUUUACUUUAUAUUGGCUUAAUAAAUACAUCCUUUGAACUUUAUAUCUCAUUUUUUUCUUUUUUUUUCCAGACGGAGUCUCACUCUGUCACCCAGGCUGGAGUGCAGUGGCAUGGUCUCGGCUCACUGCAACCUUUGCCGCCCAGGUUCAAGUGAUUCUCCUGCCUCAGCCUCCUGAGUAGCUGGGAUUACAGACACACACCACCAAGCUUGGGUAAUUUUUGUAUCUUUGAGACAGGGUAUUGCUAUGUUGGCCAGGCUAGUCUCAAACUCCUGAUGUCAGGUGAUCCACCCAACUCAGCCUCCCAAAGUGCUGGGAUUACAGGCUUGAGCCACCAUACCUGGUCUCAAAUAUUUCUAUUGAAUUAAAUGUUCCCCAUCUCACCAUGCAAGAGAGGACUUCUCACUCCUGUAAACUCAAAUAGCAGUUGCUGAUUUCUAUUUUUUUUUUUUUUACCUUGAGAUGGGAGUCUCACCUCUGUCACUCAAGCUGGAUGGAGUGCCAUUGGCGCGAUCUCGGCUCACUGCAACCUCCGCCUCCUGGGUUCAAGCAAUUCUCCUGCCUUAGCCUCCCACAUAGUUGGGAUUACAGGUGCCUGCCACCACGCCAGGCUAAUUUUAGUAUUUUUAGUAGAGGUAGGGUUUCGCCAUGUUGGCCAGGCUGGGCUCGAACUCCUGACCUCAGGUGAUCCACCCGCCUCAACCUCCCAAAGUGCCGGGAUUACAGGCGUUUUAACAACAACCAAAUAACCCCAAAACCAUACCCAAAAAUACACUGUAAAUAUCAUCGCAAGGUAGUAAACAAGUGCUGGUAAACACUAAGUAACUCAAAUGACCUCUAUCUGGGAAUGGCUGACUACACGGUAUAAACGUAUGGAGUCAGAUAUCAGAUAGGCCUAGAUUCUGAUGAGAUAUUGUCAUAAGGAAGUAACUAUAAAAUACCUAAAAACUUGUUUUCUAACAUAAAAAAAAUUAGUACCUGGCACAGUGGCUCACACCUACAAUACCAGCUGAGGCAAGAGGAUGGCAUGAGGCCAGGAGUUCAAGACCAGUCUAAGCAACAUAGUGAGAUCCCAACUCUAAAAAAAUUAGAAAACUAAAAUUAGCCAGGCAUGUUGACACGCGACUGUAGUCCCAGCUACUCUGGAGGAUAAGGUGAAAGGAUCGUUUGAGCUCAGGUGUUCAAGGCUGCAGUGAGUUAUGUUAAUGCCACUGAACUCCAGCCUGGACUGUGAGAUACUGUCUCACUAUACAAAAAUUAGCAAUGCUGCCUCAUUCAUUCACUUAAUAUUUCUUAAACAUCUAUUGUGUGAUAGACUCUGUACAAGUUAAUCAACUGCACACAGCUGAAGAAAAAAGAAAAAAAAGCAACUGUCCUAAAAAACCAACAGUAUUCAUUUAAAGGCAGGUACUAUACUCACUGUGUUCCAUAAUAUAUGCUCCAUAAAUAUUAUUCCUCCUCCUUCCUGGACAUCACUUAGAACCCUAGAACUCUGGCAGUUUUUUUUUUUUAUCCGAGAGGUGGUCGUCUCAUUUUUACACAUCCUUGUUUCCAUCUCACCAAAUGCCUCUGCCUUCCGUGAUCCAAGGAUAAGUUUCCUUUUAGCUUUCGACAACGUACAACAUGUAGAAAAAAAAAGGAACUCAGAAUAUCUAUACAAAUAAAAAAGGGUAUCUGAGCAACUAGCAAAGUGCAAUACUACACCUGCCAUUUUUAAGUAUUCAAAGUUUUCAAAACAUUUUCUGCAGAAAAUCUUGAAAUCGAAAAGUCUAGUGAGGCACACUGACUGGAUUUCAGAGUGUCAUUUUUAAGCUCAAAUUUUGAAAUCAUUAUGAUCAGACAAGGUCCUGUGUCAUCAUGAACCUAGCCAAGGCCU
rnacentral:lncRNA from 1 species